CACGUAGGGCGCAAGCGUUGUCCGGAAUUAUUGGGCGUAAAGAGCUCGUAGGCGGUUUGUUGCGUCUGCUGUGAAAACCCGGGGCUUAACCCCUGGCUUGCAGUGGAUACGGACAGACUAGAGGUAGGUAGGGGAGAAUGGAAUUCCCGGUGUAGCGGUGAAAUGCGCAGAUAUCGGGAGGAACACCGGUGGCGAAGGCGGUUCUCUGGGCCUUACCUGACGCUGAGGAGCGAAAGCAUGGGGAGCGAACAGG
rnacentral:rRNA from 1 species